rnacentral:misc_RNA from 1 species
AACGCACGAGACCUGCGGACCUGCGGAAGGAUCAUUAAUGAAUUUAAUACAGAUAAGGUGGAGGAUUGUUGCUGGCAAUCUGCAUGUGCACGUCCUUCCCUUAUUUUUCCUACAUUCACACCUUGUGCAUUCUCUCCCUAGCUCCAUUGUGUGAGCUACGGAAAAUUUUUUAAUACACACAUAUUAAAUUGUAAUGGGGUUAUCAUUAUGCAUAUGAAUGUUAUACAACUUUUAACAAUG